GUGGGGAAUAUUGCACAAUGGGGGAAACCCUGAUGCAGCGACGCCGCGUGAGUGAAGAAGUAUUUCGGUAUGUAAAGCUCUAUCAGCAGGGAAGAAAAUGACAGUACCUGACUAAGAAGCCCCGGCUAACUACGUGCCAGCAGCCGCGGUAAUACGUAGGGGGCAAGCGUUAUCCGGAUUUACUGGGUGUAAAGGGAGCGUAGGUGGUAAUGCAAGUCAGAAGUGAAAACCCCGUGCUUAACAUGGGGACUGCUUUUGAAACUGUAUAACUAGAGUGCAGGAGAGGUAAGUGGAAUUCCUAGUGUAGCGGUGAAAUGCGUAGAUAUUAGGAGGAACACCGGUGGCGAAGGCGGCUUACUGGACUGUAACUGACACUGAGGCUCGAAAGCGUGGGGAGCAAACAGGAUUAGAAACCCUAGUAGUCC
rnacentral:rRNA from 1 species